rnacentral:rRNA from 1 species
GUGGGGAAUAUUGGACAAUGGGCGAAAGCCUGAUCCAGCCAUGCCGCGUGUGUGAAGAAGGUCUUCGGAUUGUAAAGCACUUUAAGUUGGGAGGAAGGGCAGUAAGUUAAUACCUUGCUGUUUUGACGUUACCAACAGAAUAAGCACCGGCUAACUUCGUGCCAGCAGCCGCGGUAAUACGAAGGGUGCAAGCGUUAAUCGGAAUUACUGGGCGUAAAGCGCGCGUAGGUGGUUUUGUAAGUUGGAGGUGAAAUCCCCGGGCUCAACCUGGGAACUGCCUCCAAAACUGCAUGACUAGAGUACGGUAGAGGGUAGUGGAAUUUCCUGUGUAGCGGUGAAAUGCGUAGAUAUAGGAAGGAACGCCAGUGGCGAAGGCGACUACCUGGACUGAUACUGACACUGAGGUGCGAAAGCGUGGGGAGCAAACAGGAUUAGAAACCCCAGUAGUCC